UGGAGCUUGGCGCUGCUGCUGCGUUUUCUGGUUCUGCCAGUUUCUGCUGCUGCGCUGCUUUUGCUUGAUCCGUUUGCCACUGUUAUUAUAAUUAUUGUUGUAAACAACAGCGAAACAUGGGAGAGCAAUUUCCAAUACUCUGCGAUUCCAGCAACGUUGAAUGCAGACGUGUCCACAGGCGCAGCGGCGACGCCGGCUGCGGCAGCGGCAACGGCAUCGGCAGGUAGAUCAAAUGGUUAAGGAAUUUCGUUUGUGGAAUGGGAACGGGUAUAGGACUCUAAAAAAGUGCUGCCAAUCGCUUUCAAACAAACAACAGCAACAAAUAAAACCGGCCACCGCCGCUGCCGCUGCUGACGUCAAGAAAAUUUUCGUGCACUGGCAUUUGCUGCAGCCUAGCGACAGAGAGAGAGAGAGAGAUAAAACGCGAUUUGGAGAGCAUGGCUGCAUUUCGUAAUUGGGAGAGUGCGAGAGUCAAUUGGAACGUAUAAGCAAUCAUUUAUUUAUGACUUUCGAUACAUUAAAAUAUUAAACACAUAAA